rnacentral:rRNA from 1 species
GGUACUGCCUGCCCAGUGAACACAUUCAACGGCCGCGGUACCCUAACCGUGCAAAGGUAGCGUAAUCACUUGUCCCUUAAAUAGGGACCAGUAUGAAUGGCUAAAUGAGGGCUCACCUGUCUCCUUUGGCCCCCCAAUGAAACUGAUCUCCUAGUCCAAAAGCUAGAAUAAACAUACAAGACGAGAAGACCCUGUGGAGCUUUAAACACCCGUUACCGGCAUACCCCCCAGUAACCCCGUUUUUAGUUGGGGCGACUACGGAACAAACAAAACCUCCACGAACCGGACUAACCUCCGCCACAGGCACACACGCCAAAAACUGACCCAGUACUACUGACCAACGAACCAAGUUACCCCAGGGAUAACAGCGCUAUCCCCUUAAAGAGUCCAUAUCGCCAAGGGGGCUUACGACCUCGAUGUUGGAUCAGGACCCCCAGGCGGCGCAGCCACUGCCAACGGUUCGUUUGUUCAACGAUUAAAGUCCUACGUGAUCUGAGUUCA